GCUGAGGACAGAAGAGAGCUGCUCACUGAGGAAGUUCAUGUCUACAAGGUCAGUGAAGCUGUGAACCACCUUCACACUUCCCCAAUAUUCACAGAUUCAUCCAACUUGUUUCCACAAAGAGGACGCUGACUUCAUCAGAGAGAGACAUUUGGGGGUCAAACUUUGACAGAAAAAUACCAGACUCAUCAAAAGGCUCUUAGACUCUAAGACAUGUUCAUUUAGGAAACAAGUCUACAUGUAGAAGAAGACCAGGAGACAAAGAGGGACGUGC